UACGGAAGGCAGCAGUGGGGAAUAUUGCACAAUGGGCGCAAGCCUGAUGCAGCCAUGCCGCGUGUAUGAAAAAGGCCUUCGGGUUGUAAAGUACUUUCAGUCGUGAGGAAGGUGUUAAGGUUAAUAACCUUAGCAAUUGACGUUAGCGACAGAAGAAGCACCGGCUAACUCCGUGCCAGCAGCCGCGGUAAUACGGAGGGUGCGAGCGUUAAUCGGAAUUACUGGGCGUAAAGGGCACGCAGGCGGUUAAUUAAGUUGGAUGUGAAAUCCCCGGGCUUAACCUGGGAAUGGCAUUCAAGACUGGUUAGCUAGAGUCUUGUAGAGGGGGUAGAAUUCCAUGUGUAGCGGUGAAAUGCGUAGAGAUGUGGAGGAAUACCGGUGGCGAAGGCGGCCCCUGGGACAAAGACUGACGCUCAUGUGCGAAAGCGUGGGGAGCGAAAC
rnacentral:rRNA from 1 species